CCAACUGGCCGAAAAAGAAAAACAAGAAAUUGGGAAAAUCAAUGGAGUCCGUGGGAUGAUUGAUAGUGACGAUGGUUGAUUGGUUGUAUAGAUUAUAGAGGUCAAAGGAAGAGAUGGGUGUCGUUCAAAAAAACAAAGGAAGAGAUGGGUAGGUAGGCCUCAGUCAUUUCGGAGCAAAGCUGCCCACUUUGUCUGCCUUCCUCAACCUCAUGCCUAAUGCAACAUCACACAAAUGUAUUCCUCGGGUCCUGCAGCACAUGGCGGCAUAGCUUAUCACUGACAACCCUAUACAGAAGAAGUAUGCUUUGGCCUGGCCUGAGUUUGCGCUAUAUUUGGACAGUGAGCUAUUGACUGGGUCGAGUUCAUGCUCAGAAACCUUGUCUUGCACACUCGGAAGACUUUGAGGUUAAACAAGUUGAGUUAUGGGGCUUUGUAUAUGCUACCAAGUAUGAGGAAGUAGUCGCUCUAAGCCGUAUGGAGUCACCUGGGAUUUGCCGAUGGUGAAUGCUUAAUUUAGUUCGCAUUCUUCUCUGAUGGUGAUGGUGGUUGUAUCUUCACCUUAACAAAAGGUUAAUUACGGUAUCUGGAGCAGCGAGUAUAUUAUGAUUCUACAUAAAAGUUACUCGAUGUACAUAAACAACACCUUAGCAUUGUACAACAUCAUUAUAUAUGGUCCUUGCCAAUGAUACAACAAAUAAGAGUUUACAAGUGCAAAAUACCUUGCAAUCUAGCCUCUCUUAUUGUACACCAAAUACUUUGUCAGCUAUGUUGCACUGCAAAAUUUUAUAAUGGAUCAUGACAAGGUUCUAAAAGACGCUAGAUAC